GACACCAUAGCCAAGUGGUUACGGCGACAGAUUUGAACGACGGCAGUCUUGCUUCCAGAUCCAUAUCUGUUUCCCUCUGGGAGCGUAGGUUCAAAUCCUGCUGGUGUCG